AAGCCAAGCAAACACCAUGGAAACAAGCAAAUAUCAGUGCACAUAUACUUCACAGUCAUGCAAACCUAUGUCCCAUGCGUUACAUAAAAGAUCAUUGCAUACGCUAACUUGUGCAGAAACUUUCCUACAAUCCCAGGUAUAGAAGAUAAAGAGCAGAUCCCUAUCACACGCCCAUUCUCCAACAAAUACUAAAUAUAAUACAAAGUGUAAAUAAACAAUCAAGCAACUCCAGACGAAUCGAAAACUCACAUUUAGAGCAGGAAUUCCAGCAUCCAUGGUGCUGCCACCAGCUAUUGGCUCCUCGAUAACUUCCUCUUUAACCUUAAUCUCACUAAACUCAACUCUAUUCGAAUUAUCAGUAACACGAGCACUAUCGCCAUUAUCCACAACAUUCUCUUCCUUCACCUUAUCACCAAAUUUCCUCCUCUCUCUCUUUACAUGCGACACUCUAGCUUCCUUCUUCUCCCUUUCAUCCCCGCUACCUUCUCUGUCUUUUCUCUUCCUUCUACUAACGUCGUCCAACUCUUCGUUCUCCCUACCGGCAUAGGAAUCCUCCCGCUUAACUUCUCUCUCCCGAGGCUUCUCGUGCCUAUCUCUACUAUCUUCCCUCUCGUCUCGCUUCCGACGUUCGUGCGCUCUCUCCCUGCUACCUUCUCGAUCGUCUCUCAAAUC
rnacentral:lncRNA from 1 species